rnacentral:rRNA from 1 species
UGCGGCGGUUAUGGCGGGAAGGAAACACCCGGUUACAUUCCGAACCCGGAAGUUAAGCUUCUCAGCGCCGAUGGUACUGCACUCGGGAGGGUGUGGGAGAGUAGGUCACCGCCGCAC